GUGCCCCUCACCUCGGUAAUACGGAGGGUGCGAGCGUUAAUCGGAGUUACUGGGUGUAAAGCGCAUGCAGGUGGUGUGAUAAGUCAGAUGUGAAUGCCCGGGGCUCAACCUCGGAACUGCAUUCGAAACUGUCACACUAGAGUACUGUAGAGGGGGGUAGAAUUUCAGGUGUAGCGGUGAAAUGCGUAGAGAUCUGAAGGAAUACCGGUGGCGAAGGCGGCCCCCUGGACAGAUACUGACACUCAGAUGCGAAAGCGUGGGGAGCAAACAGGAUUAGAUACCCUGGUAGUCCACGCCGUAAACGAUGUCUACUUGGAGGUUGUGGCCUUGAGCCAUGGCUUUCGGAGCUAACGCGUUAAGUAGACCGCCUGGGGAGUACGGUCGCAAGAUUAAAACUCAAAUGAAUUGACGGGGGCCCGCACAAGCGGUGGAGCAUGUGGUUUAAUUCGAUGCAACGCGAAGAACCUUACCUACUCUUGACAUCCAGAGAAGCCAGCGGAGACGCAUGUGUGCCUUCGGGAGCUCUGAGACA
rnacentral:rRNA from 1 species